CCCGAUACAACUAUACGCUUCUCUCUGUUUAAGAGACACCACGCAGAUGACAAUUUUCCUCCAAAUAGGAGAUUGGAACCUAACUGAUGUUGAUUGAUGUGAAAAUAUGGGUUGUGAUGAUGAUUUGCUCUUUCGGGUCUAUAAUCUACUUCGCUAUGUUGAUAAGAUCUGACCCAUAUCUUGGCGGGGAAAUCCAUAUGGCGCAUUCGCAAACCGGUGUAUCUGCAGCUAUGGCGUGUGUUGAUCCUCUUUUUACUUGUUUGUAGAACAGUAAAAUCUGAGCGCUAAAAUUUUUACUAUAACACCCAAUUGGGUUAUUUAGUUUUGUAGAAUAACCUAUUUUUCUGAUGCAGCUCUUCACCAAUUUUUAGCUCAAAGUAGAGGUAAUCAGAGAAAAAAGAUGAUUUAUUUGUAAUUUAUAUCAAUUUUUUUUUUCUUUUUUUAAUGUGCAGUUUACAUUGAGGUAAUAGUUAUUAUUUUUUAAAUUAUUAUUUUAAUUAAUAUUUUAUUUCGUGGUAUUGA